AUGACAAUAAACAAAUCAUAAGGACAGACAAUACCAAAUGUCGGCAUCUACCUGCCUGAACCGGUUUCUUCACAUGGUCAGUUAUAUGUCGCGCUUUCUAGAGCAACUGCGACAUCAAACAUAAAGGUUCUAACAGGUACACAUGGUGAGAACAAGCAGAAGAAUAAAAAUACCACUGCAUGCGACACAUACACAAAGGGGGAGAAGAAUAGGAAGAGCACUACAAGCGAGACAUAUACGAAAAAUAUUGUAUACACGGAAGUAUUAACCAAAUAG
rnacentral:rRNA from 1 species